AAGCUUACCUGGUGAGGAAAUAUCUUGAUCAGGAAAGUGAUUCUCCCACUGCAAGGGUUAGUUCUUGCCCUCUGAAUGAAUGACCUCUGUCAUUUUUCCAAAUGUGAAAAAUUCAACUGCAGGAGCUGUGGAAAGAUACAAUAUUCCCUGUCUC
rnacentral:snRNA from 1 species